AUUCUAACCGAUUUCUGGUAUGC
rnacentral:siRNA from 1 species